rnacentral:rRNA from 1 species
GAUUGUGCCAGCAGCCGCGGUAAUACCUACUCCAGAAAUGUCUAUAAUUAAUGCUGCGAUUAAAGAGUUUGUAGUUGAGUAUGAUGACAAUAAAAUGACUUUGUUUAGAGAAGUUUUCAUUGUUAAGUAUAGCGGAAUGGAUAAGGAGUAUAGUACAACAAGGGAAKAGAUGAAAUUCCUAAAUCCAUGUUAGACUGACAGAAGCGAAAGCGAUACUCGUUAUACAUAUCAAAGAAUCAAGAACGGAGGUUAGGGUAUCGAAAGUGAUUAGAUACCACAGUAGUCCUAACAGUAAACAAUGCCAACAGUUCGUUUGUAGAUUAUAUGGUCAAGUGAUCUAUAAGUGAAUAAGAGAAAUCGAAAGUAUUUGGGCCACGGGGAGAGUACCGCCGCAAGGCAGAAACUUAAAAUGAAAUUGACGGAAGGACACUACAAAAAGUGGAUUGUACUGUUUAAUUUGACUCAACACGGGAAAACUUACCAAUAUCAAGUUAUGCGUAGAACGGAAGAAAAGAKAUCGGGAGUGUAACAGGAGUAGUGCAUGGUCGCUGGAAAUUGGUGGGAUGACUUUCAGCUUAAUUGCUUAAACCAAUGAGAUCUUUUGACUGAUGUAUAUUAUUUGCUUARUAUGAUGUGCAUUGAGACAUGUAUUGAGUGAUACAGGAAGGAAAAGGCUAUAGCAGAUCAGUUAUGCUCUCAGAUAUAUUGGGCUACAAGUGCAAUACAAUAUCAGCCUAAGAGUGGUAUUUAAUACUUUUUAAUUUUUUUGGAUUAAUUAAUAUUGGUUGAUGAUAGAAGGAUUUUAAUUUGUAAAGGUUAAAUGAAUAAGGAAUUUUUAGUAAUAAUGAUUCAUCAAGUCGUUAUGAAUAUGUCCCUGUUCUUUGUACACACCGCCCGU